GUGACCUCAAAUCAGGUAGGACUACCCGCUGAACUUAAGCAUAUCAAUAAGCGGAGGAAAAGAAACUAACAAGGAUUCCCCUAGUAACUGCGAGUGAAGCGGGAAAAGCUCAAAUUUAAAAUCUGUCAGUCUUUGGCUGUCCGAGUUGUAAUCUAGAGAAGUGUCGUCCGUGCUGGACCGUGUACAAGUCUCCUGGAAUGGAGCGUCAUAGAGGGUGAGAAUCCCGUCUUUGACACGGACUGCCAGGGCUUUGUGAUGCGCUCUCAAAGAGUCGAGUUGUUUGGGAAUGCAGCUCAAAAUGGGUGGUAAAUUCCAUCUAAAGCUAAAUAUUGGCGAGAGACCGAUAGCGAACAAGUACCGUGAGGGAAAGAUGAAAAGAACUUUGGAAAGAGAGUUAAACAGUACGUGAAAUUGCUGAAAGGGAAACGCUUGAAGUCAGUCAUGUUGUCCAGGGAUCAACCUUGCUUUUGCUUGGUGUACUUUCUGGUUGACGGGUCAGCAUCAAUUUUGACUAUUGGAAAAAGAUUGAGGGAAUGUGGCAUCUUUGGAUGUGUUAUAGCCCUUGGUUGCAUACAAUGGUUGAGAUUGAGGAACUCAGCAUGCCGCAAG
rnacentral:rRNA from 1 species